CUGCCUCAUACAGGGGGAUAACAGUUAGAAAUGACUGCUAAUACCGCAUAAGCGCACAGGGACACAUGUUCCGGUGUGAAAAACUCCGGUGGUAUGAGAUGGACCCGCGUCUGAUUAGCUGGUUGGCGGGGUAACGGCCCACCAAGGCGACGAUCAGUAGCCGACCUGAGAGGGUGACCGGCCACAUUGGGACUGAGACACGGCCCAAACUCCUACGGGAGGCAGCAGUGGGGAAUAUUGCACAAUGGGGGAAACCCUGAUGCAGCAACGCCGCGUGAGUGAAGAAGUAUUUCGGUAUGUAAAGCUCUAUCAGCAGGGAAGAAGAUGACGGUACCUGAGUAAGAAGCCCCGGCUAACUACGUGCCAGCAGCCGCGGUAAUACGUAGGGGGCAAGCGUUAUCCGGAUUUACUGGGUGUAAAGGGAGCGUAGACGGUGAGACAAGUCUGAAGUGAAAGCCCGGGGCUCAACCCCGGGACUGCUUUGGAAACUGCCUGACUGGAGUGCUGGAGAGGCAAGCGGAAUUCCUAGUGUAGCGGUGAAAUGCGUAGAUAUUAGGAAGAACACCAGUGGCGAAGGCGGCUUGCUGGACAGUAACUGACGUUGAGGCUCGAAAGCGUGGGGAGCAAACAGGAUUAGAUACCCUGGUAGUCCACGCCGUAAACGAUGA
rnacentral:rRNA from 1 species